UACAGAGGUCUCAAGCGUUGUUCGGAUUCAUUGGGCGUAAAGGGUGCGUAGGCGGCGCGGUAAGUCGGAUGUGAAAUCUCGGAGCUUAACUUCGAAACUGCAUUCGAUACUGCCGUGCUUGAGGACUGGAGAGGAGACUGGAAUUUACGGUGUAGCGGCGAAAUGCGUAGAUAUCGUAAGGAAGACCAGUGGCGAAGGCGGGUCUCUGGACAGUUCCUGACGCUGAGGCACGAAGGUCAGGGGAGCAAACGGG
rnacentral:rRNA from 1 species